GGUUAAGACGCGAUGACGUGUCGGUGGCUGAGUGGUCGAAAAUAAAGACAAAACAAAAACAAAAAAUUCACGCCUGUUUUUUUUUUGUUUUUCCAUUUGGUUGUGUCUCUCUCUCUUUCUCUUUCUCUUCUCGACAUUUUCUUCAAACUGCGAAAUCUCUUCAAAGGUGGAGACCAUCGGCGACGGCGAGGGUUCACCAAAUCAGACAUUUUGGUUAUAGGAUGCUCCAAUCUACUUCCCAUGUUAUGGUAAUGAGAAUUUUGAUAUGGUGACAUUUGAUGAAUCAUGCCAGUGGAGAGGACUUUUCUAUGGAACAGAUUGAUAGUUAUGGUAAUGAAACCGUGUGUGGUGCACUCAAGGUAUUGACUGCAAUGGUUAUCUGUUGUAAUGUGUUUUAUUGAGCAAAUGAUAAUACUAGCAAUUCUUUAAAUUCAUAUUUCAUCUCUCUCUGUAACAUCUUCUCCUUUGUGACAUUCAAAUGCAAAUGCUGUAAUGUGUUUUAUUGAUGGUUGCUUGUAUUGUAAGACAUUGUUUUGCAACAAUUUGAAUUAUUUUUUCUUAAGAA